CAUUCUAUUCCCUUGAAUACUCAAUCUCCUGUGUGGCUGCUGCAGGUCCUGGAAUGUUUUUAGGAUUUCCUCUCUAAAGGCCAUUCAAAAAGUGGGUGAAUAAUUCAGAGGCACUUGUCUUCAUUCUGUGCUGCUAUAACAGGCAGUGAUGCCGGUGCACCCUGGUGAGAAGGAGCAUGGCGUGAACAUCAGGAACCAGACUUCACCCUGGAGGAAAGGCUACAGGAUGAGGGAGGAUUUCUCGAGAGAUGAUGUGCGAGCUGAGGUCUGAAACAUGAGAAAAAUCCAGCUAUGGCAGGAGGU